rnacentral:rRNA from 1 species
UGGUGCAGUGAUGUGUCUGGUUAAUUCCGUUAACGAACGAGACCUCAACCUGCUAAAUAGUCUGGCAAAGUCAUCUGACUUUGUGCAUGACUUCUUAGAGGGACUCUCGGUGUGUAGCCGAAGGAAGCUUGAGGCAAUAACA